rnacentral:rRNA from 1 species
GGCGAGUGAAGCGGCAACAGCUCAAAUUUGAAAUCUGGCCCUUGUGGUCCGAGUUGUAAUUUGUAGAGGAUGCUUUUGGUGAGGUACCUUCCGAGUUCCCUGGAACGGGACGCCAUAGAGGGUGAGAGCCCCGUCUGGUUGGAUACCGAGCCUCUGUAAAGCUCCUUCGACGAGUCGAGUAGUUUGGGAAUGCUGCUCUAAAUGGGAGGUAUAUGUCUUCUAAAGCUAAAUAUUGGCCAGAGACCGAUAGCGCACAAGUAGAGUGAUCGAAAGAUGAAAAGCACUUUGAAAAGAGGGUUAAAUAGUACGUGAAAUUGUUGAAAGGGAAGCGCUUGUGACCAGACUUGGGCUUGGUUAAUCAUCCAGGGUUCUCCCUGGUGCACUUGGCCAGCCCAGGCCAGCAUCAGUUUGUCGCGGGGGAUAAAGGCGUCGGGAAUGUGGCUCCCCCGGGAGUGUUAUAGCCCUUCGUGUAAUACCCUGCUUUAGACUGAGGUUCGCGCAUCUGCAAGGAUGCUGGCGUAAUGGUCAUCAGCGACCCGUCUUGAAACACGGACCAAGGAGUCGUCUUCGUAUGCGAGUGUUCGGGUGUCAAACCCCUACGCGUAAUGAAAGUGAACGCAGGUGAGAGCUUCGGCGCAUCAUCGACCGAUCCUGAUGUUCUCGGAUGGAUUUGAGUAAGAGCAUACGGGGCCGGACCCGAAAGAAGGUGAACUAUGCCUGUGUAGGGUGAAGCCAGAGGAAACUCUGGUGGAGGCUCGCAGCGGUUCUGACGUGCAAAUCGAUCGC